UGAGCACUAGAACUUUUCACAUGAAGAUGAAACAGAGGUUUAAAAAAAGAUGAAACAGAUGGAAAGGGAACAAUUCUUUAAAGAAGUUGUUGCAGCUUCUGUUAGGUAGUGUUCGCCUUGGACAUCUGAGAGAGACUCCUGAGGUGCUACCUGCUUUUGUCUCUGUCUUGAUUCUCAGAUUCAUGAGACUGUACUGGCUAAUCACAGACAACACUUAACGGAUGGCUGCUCCAGGCCAAGCCUUUUUCUAAGCCUUUUACAUGGAUUAAUGACUCAGUAUCACAUCCUCAUGAGGGAGAACAGCCCGAGAAGUGAAUGUUCUUUUGCACUGCUGUCUUGAGUGCUAGUUCC
rnacentral:lncRNA from 1 species